rnacentral:misc_RNA from 1 species
GAUGAAGAACGUAGCGAAAUGCGAUACGUAAUGUGAAUUGCAGAAUUCAGUGAAUCAUCGAGUCUUUGAACGCACAUUGCGCCCGCUGGUAUUCCGGCGGGCAUGCCUGUUCGAGCGUCAUUUCAACCCUCAAGCCCCCGGGUUUGGUGUUGGGGAUCGGCUCUGCCCUCUGGGCGGUGCCGCCCCCGAAAUACAUUGGCGGUCUCGCUGCAGCCUCCAUUGCGUAGUAGCUAACACCUCGCAACUGGAACGCGGCGCGGCCAUGCCGUAAAACCCCAACUUCUGAAUGUUGACCUCGGAUCAGGUAGGAAUACCCGCUGAACUUAAGCAUAUCAAUAAGCGGAGGA